rnacentral:sRNA from 1 species
UAUUCUGCCCUACGGGGAAGGAUGAGAAGCUUCGACUAAGGUUCGACUCGAGCGUCAGCGAGAGAACGUUGCCGCAGGCAACGGCCCGAAGGGCGAGGAGCGAUAGCGACGAGUUAUCCUUCCCCCACUACUG